rnacentral:rRNA from 1 species
CCUACGGGAGGCAGCAGUGAGGAAUAUUGGGCAAUGGACGAAAGGCUGAACCAGCCAAGCAGCGUGAAGGAUGACUGCCCUAUGGGUUGUAAACUUCUUUUAUAUGGGAAUAAAAUGUUCCACGUGUGGGAUUUGGUAUUUACCAUAUGAAUAAGGAUCGGCUAACUCCGUGCCAGCAGCGGCGGUAAUACGGAGGAUCCGAGCGUUAUCCGGAUUUAUUGGGUUUAAAGGGAGCGUAGGUGGAUUGUUAAGUCAGUUGUGAAAGGUUGCGGCUCAACCGUAAAAUUGCAGUUGAAACUGGCAGUCUUGAGUGCAGUAGAGGUGGGCGGAAUUCGUGGUGUAGCGGUGAAAUGCUUAGAUAUCACGAAGAACUCCGAUUGCGAAGGCAGCUCACUGGACUGCAACUGACACUGAGGCUCGAAAGUGUGGGUAUCAAACAGGAUUAGAUACCUCAGUAGUC